AUAGUAUUUUUCAAAAUUUCAAAUGAAAUUAAUGCUGUAAAAUUUUGUGAUACAUAUGUAUAAAAAUGCCACUUUGUUAUAUGCAACACAAUUUGUUUUGUGGGCUUGGUUAAUUUUUCCAGUAGAUGCUGAAAAGGAUGAUGUUUUAUUGAAUGCCCAAAUAUCACCAUAUGAAGUACGAAUCGAAUAUUAUGAUUUAACUGUUAAUGAAAUAAUAUGUAGCGGAUCGAUUAUAUCUCAACAAAUCGUCUUAACAGCAGCGUCUUGCUUUGAUAAUUCAUGGAAUUCUCCUUAUGAUUUGUUCCAAUUAUACGAUCAAUAUAUUAUCAUAGCCGGCAUAACUGAAGAAAGUGAUUAUUAUGACAAUUCUCACAAGUAUCGUAUACAAUCUCUUGUACGACAUCCGGAAUAUAAUAUAUCAUUAUCAGAGAAAUAUAACGAUAUUGCCAUGGUGUUUACAUAUAGUUUUAUACCAUGGAAUACGCCAACUAUCAAAGCUGUGGAUCUUCCCAAUAGCAAAUUAAAGCCAGGCGACAAAUGUUUGAUCAGUUUCUGGAAUGAAGACGCAAUUGAACGCACAUUGGUUAAUAUACCAACACGUCCUUGGAGUCACAGUGAAUGCGCAAAACACAUUCCUAAUAUUAAAAUCACUCAAAUAUGCACUCCUAUAAAAGAUAUGUAUUCUCCGAAUAGAGGUGACCCAUUGGUUUGCUCAAAUGCAUUGCACGGAAUAAUGAGUUUAAAUAGCCAAUCCAAAAUUAAUUUUUCAAUAUGCACUAAUGUGUUUUAUUAUCUCGAUUGGAUCCAAAAGGUUAAUUCAUCUAUGGACAAUUCGGCAUAUUUAAAUAAUUCAGCUUUUGAUAUACAAAGAAGUUAUAAUGUGCAAACCGGAUUCCUAACAACUUUAUCUGCCUUUCUGGUUUGGGUGUAAGUAGAUCGACUUCCAUCCAAAACAAGAUUCUUAAUAUAUAAAAACUUCAAAUUGUCAUCUAUGUACAUUUGUAACUUCUGUGUUAACUUUAACUAAAUAUUACUGAAAAAAAAUGCCCAUGUUAAUUUAAGUAUAAGUAUAUCAAUAAUCAGAUCUGCUUUGGCAUCAUAAAACCAAAACAUGCCUAGCGAAUAUAAUCAAAAAAUUUAAUGUCACAAUAAAAUACUCAAAUUUCUUGUACACAACACAAGUUAAAUAUUUUGAAUACAUGUAAUAAAUUUUUAAAAUUCAUAAAAUAAAAUAAAAUUUAUUCAUACUUAAAGGUUUAACAUAAUAUGAAAUUCAUGGCAGUAUUUAUUUUUUUGACUUGGUUAGUUCCUCCAAGUCCUGCUAUAGUAGGCAAUUCAUAUAGGAUUUUAAAUGGCGUUCCUAUUAAUAUCAGACAAGCCCCUUAUCAAGUAUGGAUGGGUGGACGUGUUAUAAAUGAUCUGGGCUAUGGUCAAGUACAUUGUGGCGGAGCGGUUAUAUCACAACGUGUCGUUUUGACAGCAGAAUCUUGCUUUCUUCCUACAUACUAUGCCCCAAGCGAUAUUGCAUACAAUCAAUAUUUUAUUGUUGCCGGAUGUAAUUAUAGAAAUAAAGAAGACGAAAAUACUCAAAAAUAUCAAAUCCAGCAAGUUGUAAAACAUUCGGAUAUAUAUGUGAAAGACGAUAUUGCUAUCGUCUUGUUAAAUGGCUUUAUACCGUGGGGUUCGCCGACAAUUAAAGCGGUGGCUUUGGCCAAAAGGCCUGUACUAUCAAAUACAUUGUGUAUGGUUAGUGGCUGGGGAAAGGAUGAUAAGUUUUGCCCUCCACCUUUUGUUUUGUCAGGAAUUUCCUUUAAAUUUGAUACAAGCAAAAGUAUUUGUUCAAAGCAACAGCUGGUGUAGCGAAAACUUACCUGAUUUCGAAGUAUCUGAAAUUUGCUCUAACACGACUGAUUAUUCAUCUAGUGAUGCGGGUGGGCCAUUGGUAUGCUCAAAUGAAUUGCACGGCGUGGCCUUAUUCGAUUACAAUAAUCCAAAACGUAUUGGACUAUACGCCAACAUUUCGUAUUACUUCAAUUGGAUACGGGCAGUUAAUUCAUCUUUUAACUAUUCCGAUUAUUCGAACAAUACUAUUUCAGGUUUUGAAACCCGAAACAGUUUCAAUUUACAAGAAACUUGCUUUAUAGUCUUGUGUAUUUUUUUAGUUUGGACUAUGUAAAAACAGAACAAAAUUGAUGGUGUA